AAGCUGGGGUCUCACCCCAUGGGCUGGGAUGCUGCCUAAGACAACUCCUGGAGAGCCCCCACCUGACUGGGCUCAGACUGCUUCCAGACACCCAGUGAAACUCAAACCCAUUGCCACAAGGAAAAGCAGAAUUCCUCAGACUUGGGGUCAUGAACUGAGCUCGUCAAUGUGAAUCCCAGAAGCAGAAAGACUUGUCCUUUUGCCAUUAUCUAAUAAAGGUAUUGUG